rnacentral:rRNA from 1 species
AGAGUUUGUCCUGGCUCAGGAUGAACGCUUGCUACAGGCUUAACACAUGCAAGUCGAGGGGAAACGAUAGAGAAAGCUUGCUUUUUCUAGGCGUCGACCGGCGCACGGGUGAGUAACGCGUAUCCAACCUGCCCAUCACUUGGGGAUAACCUUGCGAAAGUAAGACUAAUACCCAAUGACGUCCAUAGAAGACAUCUGAAAUGGAUUAAAGAUUUAUCGGUGAUGGAUGGGGAUGCGUCUGAUUAGCUUGUUGGCGGGGUAACGGCCCACCAAGGCGACGAUCAGUAGGGGUUCUGAGAGGAAGGUCCCCCACAUUGGAACUGAGACACGGUCCAAACUCCUACGGGAGGCAGCAGUGAGGAAUAUUGGUCAAUGGACGAGAGUCUGAACCAGCCAAGUAGCGUGCAGGAUGACGGCCCUAUGGGUUGUAAACUGCUUUUAUAAGGGAAUAAAGUGAGUCUCGUGAGACUUUUUGCAUGUACCUUAUGAAUAAGGACCGGCUAAUUCCGUGCCAGCAGCCGCGGUAAUACGGAAGGUCCGGGCGUUAUCCGGAUUUAUUGGGUUUAAAGGGAGCAUAGGCCGGAGAUUAAGCGUGUUGUGAAAUGUAGACGCUCAACGUCUGCACUGCAGCGCGAACUGGUUUCCUUGAGUACGCACAAAGUGGGCGGAAUUCGUGGUGUAGCGGUGAAAUGCUUAGAUAUCACGAAGAACUCCGAUUGCGAAGGCAGCUCACUGGAGCGCAACUGACGCUGAAGCUCGAAAGUGCGGGUAUCGAACAGGAUUAGAUACCCUGGUAGUCCACGCCGUAAACGAUGAAUAUUAGGUGUCGGGGUGGCAAAGCCCAUUCGGUGCCGCAGCAAACGCAAUAAGUAUUCCACCUGGGGAGUACGUUCGCAAGAAUGAAACUCAAAGGAAUUAGCGGGGACCCGCACAAGCGGUGGAGCAUGUGGUUUAAUUCGAAGCAACGCGAAGAACCUUACCAAGUCUUGACAUCGAUCUGCCCGCUCCUUAAUCGGAGCUUUCUCUUCGGAGACAGAGAAGACAGGUGGUGCAUGGUUGUCGUCAGCUCGUGUCGUGAGAUGUUGGGUUAAGUCCCGCAACGAGCGCAACCCUUAUCCUUAGUAGCCAGCGGCAAGGCCGGGCACUCUAGGGAGACUGCCAGGGAUAACCUGGAGGAAGGUGGGGAUGACGUCAAAUCAUCAUGCCCCUUAUGAUUUGGGCUACACACGUGCUACAAUGGCGUAAACAAAGGGAAGCGAGAGGGUGACCUUGAGCAAAUCCCAAAAAUAACGUCCCAGUUCGGACUGUAGUCUGCAACCCGACUACACGAAGCUGGAUUCGCUAGUAAUCGCGCAUCAGCCAUGGCGCGGUGAAUACGUUCCCGGGCCUUGUACACACCGCCCGUCAAG